UGCGCGUGCGUGAGGUUGGUUUAAUUUGCGUGGUUAUGUACCCAGAUUCUGACCAACAUAAUACCUCGACGAGGGGCGCUGGCCAAAUCCAAACCGGAUACCAUAAAAACAUGGUAUCCGGUUAAACACUGCGCAUGCUCAAUAGACUUUCUUAAUUCUUAUGUGACGUCAAAAUUAAAAGUGAUCGGACAAAUGUCUUGUCAAGUCAAAUACUUAUUUGCAGCCCUGUAGUGGCCCUCAUUA